rnacentral:rRNA from 1 species
UGGGGAAACCCAGUGUGAUUCGUCACACUAUCAUUAACUGAAUCCAUAGGUUAAUGAGGCGAACCGGGGGAACUGAAACAUCUAAGUACCCCGAGGAAAAGAAAUCAACCGAGAUUCCCCCAGUAGCGGCGAGCGAACGGGGAGGAGCCCAGAGCCUGAAUCAGCAUGUGUGUUAGUGGAAGCGUCUGGAAAGGCGCGCGAUACAGGGUGACAGCCCCGUACACAAAAGCGCAUGUGCUGUGAGCUCGAUGAGUAGGGCGGGACACGUGGUAUCCUGUCUGAAUAUGGGGGGACCAUCCUCCAAGGCUAAAUACUCCUGACUGACCGAUAGUGAACCAGUACCGUGAGGGAAAGGCGAAAAGAACCCCGGCGAGGGGAGUGAAAAAGAACCUGAAACCGUGUACGUACAAGCAGUGGGAGCACAGGUUUACCUGUGUGACUGCGUACCUUUUGUAUAAUGGGUCAGCGACUUAUAUUCUGUAGCAAGGUUAACCGUAUAGGGGAGC